rnacentral:rRNA from 1 species
GUGCCCUACGGGGGCAGCAGUAGGGAAUCUUCCACAAUGGGCGAAAGCCUGAUGGAGCAACGCCGCGUGGGUGAAGAAGGUCUUCGGAUCGUAAAACCCUGUUGUUAGAGAAGAAAGUGCGUGAGAGUAACUGUUCACGUUUCGACGGUAUCUAACCAGAAAGCCACGGCUAACUACGUGCCAGCAGCCGCGGUAAUACGUAGGUGGCAAGCGUUAUCCGGAUUUAUUGGGCGUAAAGAGAACGCAGGCGGUCCUUUAAGUCUGAUGUGAAAGCCUUCGGCUUAACCGGAGUAGGGCAUUGGAAA